rnacentral:rRNA from 1 species
UACGUAGGGGGCAAGCGUUGUCCGGAUUUAUUGGGCGUAAAGAGCGUGUAGGCGGCUAGGUAGGUCCGUUGUGAAAACUCGAGGCUCAACCUCGAGACGCCGGUGGAAACCAUCUAGCUAGAGUCCGGAAGAGGAGAGUGGAAUUCCUGGUGUAGCGGUGAAAUGCGCAGAUAUCAGGAAGAACACCCGUGGCGAAGGCGGCUCUCUGGGACGUGACUGACGCUGAGACGCGAAAGCGUGGGGGAGCGAACAGG